UAGGGAAUUUUGGGCAAUGGGCGAAAGCCUGACCCAGCAACGCCGUGUGAGGGAUGAAGGCCCUCGGGUCGUAAACCUCUGUCAGGGGGAACGAAUUGCUCUCGGGUAAUAUUCGAGAGAGUUGACGGUACCCCCAAAGGAAGUGCCGGCUAACUCCGUGCCAGCAGCCGCGGUAAUACGGAGGGCACAAGCGUUGUUCGGAAUCACUGGGCGUAAAGCGCGUGUAGGCGGUCGGGCAAGUCGAAUGUGAAAGCCCCGGGCUCAACCCGGGAACUGCAUCCGAAACUGCUCGGCUAGAGUCCCGGAGGGGAAGGCGGAACUCCCAGUGUAGGGGUGAAAUCCGUAGAUAUUGGGAAGAACACCGGCGGCGAAGGCGGCCUUCUGGACGGUGACUGACGCUGAGACGCGAAAGCGUGGGGAGCAAACAGGAUUAGAUACCCCCGUAGUCC
rnacentral:rRNA from 1 species